GCGGCGGACGGGUGAGUAACACGUGGGCAACCUGCCCGCAAGACCGGGAUAACUCCGGGAAACCGGAGCUAAUACCGGAUAACACCGAAGACCGCAUGGUCUUCGGUUGAAAGGCGGCCUUUGGGCUGUCACUUGCGGAUGGGCCCGCGGCGCAUUAGCUAGUUGGUGAGGUAACGGCUCACCAAGGCGACGAUGCGUAGCCGGCCUGAGAGGGUGACCGGCCACACUGGGACUGAGACACGGCCCAGACUCCUACGGGAGGCAGCAGUAGGGAAUCUUCCGCAAUGGGCGAAAGCCUGACGGAGCGACGCCGCGUGAGCGAAGAAGGCCUUCGGGUCGUAAAGCUCUGUUGUGAGGGACGAAGGAGCGCCGUUCGAAGAGGGCGGCGCGGUGACGGUACCUGACGAGAAAGCCCCGGCUAACUACGUGCCAGCAGCCGCGGUAAUAC
rnacentral:rRNA from 1 species